rnacentral:tRNA from 1 species
GGCUGUAGCUCAGUGGUAGAGUGCUUGCCUAGCAUGUGUGAGGAACUGGGUUCAAUCCUCAGCACCA